GACGAACGCUGGCGGCGUGCAUAACACAUGCAAGUCGAACGGAAAGUCCCUGCUUUUGUGGGGUGCUCUAGUGGCGAACGGGUGAGUAACACGUGAGUAACCUGCCUGUGACUUUGGGAUAACUUCAGGAAACUGGGGCUAAUACCGGAUAGGAUCUCCUGCUGCAUGGUGGGGGUUGGAAAGUUUCGGCGGAUGGGGAUGUACUCGCGGCUUAUCAGCUUGUUGGUGUGGUAGUGGCUUACCAAGGCUUUGACGGGUAGCCGGCCUGAGAGGGUGACCGGCCACAUUGGGACUGAGAUACGGCCCAGACUCCUACGGGAGGCAGCAGUGGGGAAUAUUGCACAAUGGGCGGAAGCCUGAUGCAGGAACGCCGCGUGCGAGAUGACGGCCUUCGGGUUGUAACCCGCUUUCGCCUGUGACGAAGCGUGAGUGACGGUAAUGGGUAAAGAAGCACCGGCUAACUACGUG
rnacentral:rRNA from 1 species